CAGCUGCGGGGUCCUGCACCGCGACAUCAAACCAGCAAACAUCCUGGUUGACCUGGCCACCGGGCAGGCUAAGCUGAUUGACUUUGGCUGUGGCACCUACCUGCAAGACACAGCCUACACUCACUUUGCAGGAACACCAUCACACAGCCCCCCGGAAUGGACCCGCUUUGGCUGGUACCAUGGCGAGCCAGCUACCAUCUGGUCCCUGGGCAUCCUGCUGCACAAGAUGGUCUGUGGGAAGAUGCCUUUCAGGAGGGGCUGGAACUUCAGCUGGGGCCAGCUCUCACUGCCACAACGGCUCUCUCCAGAGUGCCAAAAUCUGAUCGGGUGGUGUUUAUCCAUGCACCCCUUGGCCAGACCCUCAUUAGAAGAGGUGUUCAGUCAUCCUUGGAUGCAGGAUAUUCAUCUGCCCUAGAAGAAGGGAGAGAGCCACAGGCACACUUAGAUCCAGGGCCCUGGGAAGGAAAAGGAGCCCCUGGAGAAGCUGUACCGGGUGGGCUGCUGCUGCAGGAGACGGCGAGGAUGACAUGAUGAUGACAACCUCUCCCUGGACCUGGCCACCAGCAGUUGAAGAGGAAGCAUUCUAGGUGGUCCAGUCUGGAUUGGGAAGUACUUGGGACCAGCUGCAGCGUGGAUGGGCCGUGCCCUUGGAGCAGGCUGAGGACAUCGUUUGGG